UGUAAGAGUGGGCGCGCGAGUGUGAUCAACCGGUGCAGACCGCGAUUCCGCUGUCUGUCUAGCAGCCUGCCGUGCCAACGUGCUUUCGUGCCAGCAUCGUGUCACCGUACCAGAAAGUGUCUCAUCGAGAGUGUAUUACGCCCACAUUGGCGUCUCUAUUUGCACAUUACUCGAAUUCGGCUAUGAGGACCGCCGUCUGACCGAUCGUCAUCCAACUACUUAACCCCAUCGUCGUUCAUCCGCUCCGAUCGUAGCCAUCGUAUCAUCCCAGCUUCCUCGCUCGAGUAUCGGAGGAAGAAACGCCGGAUCAUGAACUCUAACGCCUUCGAGUACGAUUCGAGACCGUGGAUGCAGCCAGGUAUCGGAGGCGGAGGUGGCGCGGCCCACGUAGGUGGGACAGGUGACGACGAGGCUCCGAAAGAUCCCGGUGUUCGGAUCACUCAUCAAUCUUACACCGAGAAAGACUUCGAAGGUCACAGAGCGCACACGGUAUAUGUGGGCGUGCAUCUACCAGGCGAAAGGAGACAUCGUCGUCAUCACAAGCACCAUCAUUCUCAACGUCAGUUGGGAACAAGCAGUACCGAUAAGGAGAAUGUCGACAACGAUAGGCCCAGACAAUUGCUGAUGACUCGAAGGAGUCGACUAUCUAAUAUCUGCGAUCCCGACGGCGAGAUGAUACUUACGCCGCCAGCCCAGAGGGUGCAGUUUAUUCUGGGCGAGGAAGUCGGGGACGAUGCACACGAGUCCCACCCCCUCUUCUCCGAGAUGGAGGAGCUCGUCAAGGAUGGUGACGAGAUGGAAUGGAAGGAAACGGCCAGGUGGAUUAAGUUCGAGGAAGACGUGGAGGAGGGUGGAAAUAGGUGGAGCAAACCUCACGUAGCGACGCUCUCGCUACACGCUCUUUUCGAGCUAAGGAGCCUGCUGUUAAAUGGAACUGUGAUGUUGGACAUGGAGGCGGCGAGUUUGGAACAAAUCGCCGAUUUGGUACUCGAUAACAUGAUCAACAAGGGCUCCUUGCCGAUCGAGGCGAGGGAAAAGGUCAGGGAAGCUCUUCUGGUGAGGCAUCGGCAUCAACAUGAGAGACGCAAGGAUAACAACAUGUCCAGGCUACCAAUUAUCAGAUCCUUGGCCGAAAUAGGUCGAAAUCAUUCCUCUUCGAAGAAUUCCGACUGUACUUGUGGUUUGCAUGCGUUGUUGACGUCAGAUUUACAGGAGCGUCGCGACGCUAGGGACGCCUACGCUCCCUCCGUCGCUCGCAGUAGCAGUUGCCCAAAUUCGAAUACGGCUCUGCUUUCGAAAGAAGCGAAAGAUCUGAAAGGACCGUACCUUCUAGUUCCAGUGGAGGAAUCGAAUUCUGCCCCGGCGAUCGCCGGCGCUACAAGUCACGGCAGUGGGCCAGCGCUGAAUGCCGGUAGCCGCUUCCUUGCCAUACCCGGUAAUCCCGGCCAAGAACCAGGCACCAACGGGAUGGAUCGAAGUCCAAGCAGCGUGUCAAUUAGCCGAAAUCACAGUUCGUCCGCCUUAGAAAACGGAGACGCAAAUCACAAGGGUAAUACUCAUUUUAUGCGGAAAAUACCAGCUGGAGCCGAGGCGAGCAACAUUCUCGUAGGAGAAGUCGAUUUUUUAGAUAAAACGCUGUCAGCCUUUAUUCGGCUAAGCCAGGCGGGAAUAAUGGGUGACUUAACGGAAGUUCCUGUGCCAACAAGAUUUAUAUUUGUCCUGCUCGGACCUACGGGUGGAAUCACAGGUUUCCACGAGAUUGGCCGUGCCAUGGCUACGCUGAUGUCCGACGAGGUCUUCCACGAUGUGGCGUACAAGGCCAAGAACAGAAAUCAUCUGCUUGCAGGAAUCGACGAGUUUUUGGACGCUGUUACGGUUCUACCGCCAGGAGAAUGGGACCCUGCGAUCAGAAUAGAACCGCCUGCCGCUAUUCCUUCGCAGGAUGUAAGGAAGCGACCAAAAGAAGAGAAACCGAAGGAAGACCUAGACGACGAAGCAGACGAGCAAAAGUUAAGGGAAGAAUCCGGUCUGUCGAGAACUGGCAGGCUUUUCGGUGGCUUGGUAAACGACAUAAAAAGAAAAGUGCCGUUUUAUUUUUCCGACUUCAAGGACGCGUUGGCCCUUCAAUGCGUAGCCUCUUUUAUCUUCCUGUAUUUUGCCUGCCUCUCGCCUAUAAUUACAUUCGGUGGUUUGCUGAGCGAAGCCACAGGCAAAAAUAUGGCCGCCAUGGAGUCGCUCGUUUCCGGUUUCGUUUGCGGCAUCGGAUAUGGAUUUUUCUCCGGUCAACCUCUCACCAUUCUCGGUUCCACCGGCCCGGUCUUAGUCUUCGAGACGAUAGUCUACGAAUUUUGCAAGAAAUCAGAUUGGAACUACAUGUCGUUCCGCUUCUGGAUCGGCUCGUGGAUAACACUGAUUCUGGUAAUCCUCGUGGCGAUCGACGCUAGUGCUUUCGUGUGCUACAUCACGCGGUUCACGGAGGAAAACUUCGCCACUCUGAUCGCGUUUAUCUUCAUUUACAAGGCCAUCGAAAACGUAUUGUCCAUCGGCAAAAAGUAUCCUAUAAAUACUCAUGCGAACGAACCGUUCAACUACGAGUGUUGGUGCAAGCCGCCGAAUGGCAGCCUACCGUCUAGCUACGACAACAUUAAUUGGACGGCUCUCGAUCAAAAAGCAUGCCAGAGUUACAACGGCACGCUGGUGGGCGAUGGUUGCAACCUACCGCACUACAUACCCGAUGUGUUCCUCAUGUCAAUUAUACUAUUCAUGGGCACAUUCUUGCUAUCCGUCGAGCUCAAAGAUUUCAAGAACGCUCUCUUCUUUCCAUCAAAGGUCAGACAGGUGGUCAGUGAUUUUGCGGUGAUCAUCGCGAUUUUUUCGAUGAGCACGCUCGACCAUUUCGUGAAUAUUCCAACGCCCAAGCUCGAAGUACCGGAGGAAUUCAAGCCGACGUUGGCCGGUCGGGGAUGGAUGAUCUGGCCUUUUCAAAGCAAUCCAUGGUGGAGCGCCAUCGUCGCGUGUCUGCCAGCUCUCUUAGGCACUAUACUGAUUUUUAUGGAUCAACAAAUUACAGCCGUGAUAGUCAAUAGGAAAGAGAACAAAUUAAAGAAAGGAUGCGGCUAUCAUUUGGAUCUGUUCGUCCUUGCGAUCCUGAUAGAAAUUUGCUCGGUGAUGGGACUGCCCUGGUUCGUCGCGGCAACGGUGCUCUCGAUCAAUCACGUGAAUUCGUUGAAACUGGAAUCGGAAUGUGCCGCGCCAGGUGAAAAACCGCAGUUCCUCGGUGUCCGCGAACAGCGUGUUACACACAUUUUAAUCUUUUUGAUGAUCGGCUGCUCGGUUCUGCUCACGCCAAUGCUGAGACACAUACCGAUGCCGGUGCUGUUUGGAGUUUUCCUCUACAUGGGAGUUGCUUCGUUGAAGGGACUUCAAUUUUUCGACAGAAUUUUAAUCAUGCUGAUGCCGGUUAAAUACCAACCUGACUAUAUGUUCCUUCGGCAGGUACCACUGAAACGCGUUCAUCUGUUUACAACGAUACAGUUGACUUGUUUAGCCUGCUUGUGGAUUAUCAAAUCUUUCAGCAGCACCUCCAUCCUGUUUCCUUUGAUGUUGGUGGUGAUGAUCGGGAUACGAAAGUCCUUAGACUUGUUGUUCACUCAACGCGAGUUAAAGAUCUUGGACGACGUAAUGCCGGAACCAAGCAGGAAACACGCCGAAGAUCUACGACAACUGGAGAGCGGCGAGGAACAGAACGAGUCUAUGGGAUACGGACCGUCGGGAAACAUACAGAUUUCGUUAGCGAACGGCAACAUUAUAAAGAUCCCAAUGGCGAGCAUCAAUAUCAGCGAAGAGGUGAAUAAAACCGGGAUUUGGCAACAAGUGAACGAAGGCAACGAGAAAACGAAACAAGUGAAACUUAUCAACGCGGGAAAGCAGAAGAAGCACUCGAAGAAGGAAAACCUGUUGAUGGCUGACGAGACUACGAGGCUGACUACGAUGACCGAAGAGGACGAAGAUGACAGUGGAAUCUCUAUCAAGGUGACAAACGUAAAUGACUCUAAAUUCUAACCACCACCACGAUCACCAAACUGAUAAAUCACAUGGCAAGUCACACAGCAAGAGCACCAAUACACCGGCAUGCAACAUACCCCCUGUACGCUACUGUAGACUUGAUACGAUCGAAGGAAAGCAUCAGCCCGUUAACGAUUAACGGCACUACUUCGGCCGAGACUUCUGUCUAACAAAAACAACGCUACAUUGGGAACGCUCGCGAUCAUCUUUGAACGAUCACUCGAUCUUUGAACGAUUCCGAAGAUUCUGUUUUCCUUUAGUUCCAAUUUAAACGGUACAAAGCACGUUUUGAUUUUCCUCGUACGCGUUAUCGUCUAGUCAUGGUAAACGCGAUGAUCGUGGUCAGGAACAGUCGAGAAAAGUUAUUACAAGGACAAUAUUUUAUAGGAGAUGGAAUUGCACGCGAGACUAUCUAAUUUCAUCGCGUUGUAGCUUGGACGAGUGCAAUUAACAAACGCCACUGACGGAUACCUAGAUGUAGCUGUCGUGAACCUUUUAUUCGUAAGAAAGGAAGAAAAAAGAAACGCACACAUCAUUAAAACUUAAAGUAGAGCGAUCUAGAUUUAAGAUUGGAUUUGUUGAUAAAUCGACGCGUGAAUUGUCAUCGCUGGAUCUCGAAUCUAUUCUUGUCAGUGCGCAAUAACGUUUACUUGUAAUCUAGCGAUUAUAUGAAUUAAGUAGUUUGUGCCCAUAGAAAAUACGCCAAGAAAACCCCUUUGGAUAUAUCGACGUUUCCUUCGAGGGAUGUCUCGCAGAGGAGCUUGACCGAUACGCGUCGUCGAUCGUAGAGAAAGCGCCGAAAAGGUCGGUAUUACCCCCAGUGACGAGACUCAUUCUUCACCAACGCUCAUGCAACAUUAACAACAUUCUUCUAGCACGAUUGGAUUUUAUUAAAAUUGUUCAAGUUUCCAAUACACGUCAGAUACCGGCCAACAGCGACAAUAUAUUCAUUAUACGGUAAAUGUACAGCAUCUUUUUUACGCUGAGAAUAGGAAAAUUCGAUUGCGUGGAAGAAAAUUCGUACGCAAAGAUAUUAGAAAAGAGUUUUCCAUGUUUUUUAUCGAAAUUUUAGCACGACUGAAUUUCCAUGCGUAACGCCGUCCCUUGAAGGAUGUCCUUUUCGUUCGAAAAAAGGAACAAUGAGAUUUUUAACGUACUGCAGUCUUUCAGAACAUUGCGCGGAUCGUUACACGAAUAAGCUGUUAUUUCUCCUUCUUCGCCGGUUUUCAACCGACACAGACACGGAAACGAACCGAUUGGUGCGAGAAUAUUAGAAGAGAAUAAUUUCAUACAAUAUUUUUCAAGCGACACGUUAUCAAAUUAUUACACGUUGGAAUAAACCUCCGAGGAUUUGCAAGUCCGCUCGAGAACUGCGUGAUAAGUUCGUCGAUAAAUGAGAUUAGGUCUUCGUAUUUGGUGAGAUGAGAUAGUAGCACUAUAGAUUAAUAAUAAAGAGAGGUAAGAGGCAUUAAUAGGCCUCCACCUGUAUAUACAACAUAUAUUGGAACAUCUCUAUCGAUAUAUGUAUUAUACAUACAGCAAAGUACGAUACGAAGCAGCCGUUCGUCUUGAUGUUACGUGUGUUUGUAUAAAUUUAAGAAAGAAAUUCGCUCGCAGAUCUAUACACGCUCGCAAUGGGAAAGAAAUUAUGGAAGCGCAUGCGAGCGUUCUCGAUCCCGUUUCAGACACAUGUUUGCCAUAAGCUAACGGGCUACGAUCGUCAUUAUAGUAUUUUAAAUGGUUGUGAUUAGAAUUUUGAACAUUUUAUGAAUGAUGUGUAAGUACUUGCUAGUGAAAGAACAGUGAUUUCAAUAAUUUUGUAAAUCUUACGCGACGUAAACAAAAUUCUGCUUUAAAAGGUUCGCGUAACAAAUUAUAAUAACAGAGCAGUGAAUGCGCGUGAUACGGUAUUCCGCUAUAUUUUCAAUUUACAUAUUUUUUAAAAAUCGCGAACACAUUUGCUGCAACUUUUUACAAAGAUAUCCCGAGAGUGUGCCGCGCCGUGUUUAGAAGACCUAGUUUCCUGUCCAACGUAUCUAUUUGCAACGGAAUACCGUUAAUGAUAAAAAUGGAUACCGAAGUUGAAAGCGUAGAAAUUUAUUUUAGGUACUGAAAUAGAAUUUUGUUACGAGCAAUAAGUUCAGCGUAUACACGCGAAGUUGUUUAUCCUCGCAUAACAUCGCAUCGAACAUCAUUCAAUUUUCAUCAUGAAUAAAAGUGUACGUAACAAAUAACUUCCUUAAUGAUUAACUAUAGUUCGUAUAAAGAAUAUGCACACUUUGGACACUUGCUUCGGUGGUCAUAAAUGUGUGUAUAUAUACGAACAAACGAGGAAACUCAUUGCGAGCAACAAUGUAUAUAAUCAGUUGCAAUCAUAUAAUUCGCUGCCAUGCAUGCAAUCGAUGUAUUAGUCCUCCUUAACGGAAUUGCUGAUAAA